UCUGUUUGUUGUGUGGUUAUGCAACAAGCCAUGAAAAUAUUUCUAUACAUGAACAGGCUGGCCAAUGAGGUGGGAACACAUAGCUUCCUCUUACCCUUGUCUGAUCUCUGCCUCACCCAAACACAGACAUCAACUCAGGAGUGCUCUCUAGAGGCUACAAGGUGCAAAGAAUUUCAACUGGAAGCACUGGUAACGUACAUAAAUGAGAAUGGGACAGCAGUGUGACGCAGCAGUUAGAAAGGUCAUCCUCUGUUUGGGAAUCCACAGACCCAGCCGAAGCCUCAGUCUGUGAGUCAUGAGCGUCUGGAUUGUUCUGGAGGUCCGUCGGGAGCGGCUGUUUGUCGGAUGCGCCAGCAGGGGCAGUGUUACUCUCACGGGUGUCCACAUAUGCGAAUCUGUGUCGCCUGUGUUCUGGAGGUGCAUGAUGGGAAUGUGCGCCGUGCCGCUCAUCAGUGGAAACUGCAGGUUCG